GUGCUCGCUUUGGCAGUACAUAUACAAAAUUGGAAUGAUACAGAGAAGAUUAGCAAGGCUCCUGUGCAAGGAUGACACGCAAAUUUGUGAAGUGUUCCAUAAUUUU